CGACGCUCGUGGAGUGGAAACCAAAUGGUGGACCGACUACACCGAGACAUCGUUCUAUGAAAAGGCUGACUGCUUUCGAAAGCAGUACGGAAGCAUCGUCGACCCUCUGGCUAACAUGACGCUCAAUGCAAGGGGUACCUACGUUCAAGACAUUGCUGACAACUCCGCAGUUCUAACCGCAUUUCACGCGUACUUGGCUUCAUCUGAUGGCAAACCAAAGGUGUCGCUGCCGGGCCUCGAAAACUUCUCUCCGGAACAGCUAUUCUUCCUUUCCUAUGGCUCG